rnacentral:rRNA from 1 species
GUGAGGAAUAUUGGUCAAUGGGCGGAAGCCUGAACCAGCCAAGUCGCGUGAGGGAUGACGGGUCCAUGGCCUGUAAACCUCUUUUGUGAAGGAAGAACCGCGGGGACGUGUCCCCGCCUGCCAGUACUUCACGAAUAAGCAUCGGCUAACUCCGUGCCAGCAGCCGCGGUAACACGGGGGAUGCGAGCGUUAUCCGGAUUCAUUGGGUUUAAAGGGAGCGUAGGCGGCCCGACAAGUCAGCGGUAAAAGACUGCAGCUAAACUGUAGCGCGCCGUUGAAACUGCCGGGCUAGAGUGCAGACGAGGUUGGCGGAACAGGUGAAGUAGCGGUGAAAUGCAUAGAUAUCACCUGGAACCCCGACAGCGAAGGCAGCUGACCAGGCUGUAACUGACGCUGAUGCUCGAGAGCGUGGGUAGCGAACA